rnacentral:rRNA from 1 species
GACGAACGCUGGCGGUGUGCUUAACACAUGCAAGUCGAACGGUAAGGCCCUUUCGGGGGUACACGAGUGGCGAACGGGUGAGUAACACGUGAGUAACCUGCCCUCAUCUCUGGGAUAACAGUCGGAAACGGUUGCUAAUACUGGAGAUGAGCCUGCAAGGCAUCUUGUGGGUUGGAAAGAUUUUUUGGUUGGGGAUGGACUCGCGGCCUAUCAGCUUGUUGGUGAGGUAGUGGCUCACCAAGGCUUCGACGGGUAGCCGGCCUGAGAGGGCGACCGGCCACAUUGGGACUGAGAUACGGCCCAAACUCCUACGGGAGGCAGCAGUGGGGAAUAUUGCACAAUGGACGGAAGUCUGAUGCAGCAACGCCGCGUGCGGGAUGACGGCCUUCGGGUUGUAAACCGCUUUCAAUUGUGACGAAGCUUUUUGUGACGGUAGCAGUAGAAGAAGCACCGGCUAACUACGUG